rfam:Enterococcus columbae DSM 7374 = ATCC 51263 genomic scaffold acyDG-supercont2.6, whole genome shotgun sequence.
GGGGGCGUUACGGAUUCGACAGGCAUAGUUCGAGCCUGAAUUGCGCUUCGUAGGUUACGGCUACGUUAAAACGUUACAGUUAAAUAUAACUGCAAAAAACAACAAUUCUUACGCUUUAGCUGCUUAAUAACCAGCAUUGCGUGAUCCACUCGGUAUCUCCCAUGUACUCGAGUCUGGGUCUCAUUUAUUAGUGGGAUACGUAAUAAUCAUCCGUCUGUUGAUUAUUAAAGAGUUUUUCAGACUAGCUAUUUAGCAGGCCUGUCAUUCGGCAUACUUUUUAGCAAAACAUAAAUAGAACUGACUAUGAGCGUAGAUUUUUAGGUAGCGAUAUGUUUGGACGUGGGUUCGACUCCCACCGCCUCCAUUG